rnacentral:rRNA from 1 species
AACGAACGCUGGCGGCAUGCCUAACACAUGCAAGUCGAACGAGACCUUCGGGUCUAGUGGCGCACGGGUGCGUAACGCGUGGGAACCUGCCCUUAGGUUCGGAAUAACUCCCCGAAAGGGGUGCUAAUACCGGAUAAUGUCUUCGGACCAAAGAUUUAUCGCCUUUGGAUGGGCCCGCGUUGGAUUAGCUAGUUGGUAGGGUAAAAGCCUACCAAGGCGACGAUCCAUAGCUGGUCUGAGGGGAUGAUCAGCCACACUGGGACUGAGACACGGCCCAGACUCCUACGGGAGGCAGCAGGGGGGAAUAUUGGACAAUGGGCGAAAGCCUGAUCCAGCAAUGCCGCGUGAGUGAUGAAGGCCUUAGGGUUGUAAAGCUCUUUUACCCGGGAUGAUAAUGACAGUACCGGGAGAAUAAGCUCCGGCUAACUCCGUG